AAAUUAAAAAAAAAGAAAUAUUCAUUGAAUAAGUGAAUUGUUCUUCAUAGCUCGGUCAUAUCUUCUCAACCAGAUUCUAGUAACUGUGAGGGCAGGGACAAUAUCUUCAUUUCUCAUGUUUCCCCAGUGUAUUCCACAUGGUGCUGAAGAACUUGAAUAUUAGUGAUGUCAUUUAUAUGAAACAACCCACACAUGCACACGGAAAUGUGUUAUGGAUGGGUAGAUGUGGCCGUUGGCCAUUCAAGGACCUUCAUGGGAUAAAUAAAGGCACUCAGUUUUGGAAGCCUCACCCCACAUUAUAUUGAUCUUUAAAAUGCACAUAUAUUUCAUGAUGUGUUUGUGUGCUUGUGUGUGUGUGUCUACACACAUAUAAUUUUGCUCUAAAAUAAUUUUUGUAAUUUGCUUUGUUAAUGGUUACUUUAUCAUUUUGAUUUCACAAUUUCUAUUUUGUAAUUUGGAGCCCCCCUUUUUUUUCACCUCAAACAUUUUCUUGGCCCUUGACAAGCCUACAGGUCUCAGUCACUGUGCCUAUAGUGACUGAUGCAUACAAUGACUUUGCCUGUGGGUACUUCCAGGACAAGAGUGACCUAGAAGGCACAAAAUGAUGAUGAGUUCAGCAUCCCAGUGAAACUGUUCUCCAUCCCCCUUUUUCCUGUCUCUGGGCCUUCUCUCCUGCCCUGCCCCAUCUGCCAGACUCCAGGCGUGUGCUCAGAGAGGAUGUGCUCUGAGUUUUAUGGUAUCUGUUGUUGUCCCCCAAGUGCAAGCGUCUAAUUAGGCUUGACACUACCGAGGCGUUUCCCUGACAUUUAUGUCACUGUCUCUCAAUCUUUAGCAGCAUUUGGUCUUGUGGGAAGCACAACAAACAAUGUCAGAAACAACAUAAAAUUCCCCAUUAGAGGGGGCCCUCGGAAACCGUGGUGCUGUUUAUUAGGCGCACUCAAAGGGGAGGCCGAAGGGUGGAGCCGGGUGUGUAGAAUCUGGGCUUGGAGGAAGAAAUAAAAUGGCUCAUUUAAAUUCUUAAGAACUGCAUAGGAGGCAGAAGACACAAUGAGUAUCUUAGAGAAGAAAGGCCAUCAGUUGAACAAACUAAUCACAUGGUAAUCAAAGGGGAGUGAUUCGCUGCCUACUGAGAAGUACUUUAGAAGAAGUUCCAGCCGGGGAGAGUAAAGACCCUAUUGAAUGACAGCUUUCAUAAAUUAUAGAUUUUUAAAAAUUGCACAAAGGAAUCUGUAAUAACGUGCGAAAUGGAUUUAAAGACGAAAAGUGCCCAAAGCAUCUGAGCAAGUCCAGGGAACAGGCGGGCCUGAUGUGGGAGGGGCUGUGUGAGCCUUUGCGGGAAGCCCAACUUCCCCGCAAAAGCCCCGCCUCCCGCACAAGUCCCGCCCCCAUCCGGGUCCGCGCCGGGGUUGUAGGAUUGCCCUGGGUUCCCUGAUUGCUGUCUGGAUUUGCACGCUUGGAGACUGGCUCAACGUAGACCCUAACAAGUGAAGGUGCUGGUAGGUGGCAGUUCUCUGUCUCCACCACAAACCGAGCCCCUGGGUGUACAGGCUGCGGGUCCUACGUUUCUCAGCCCCCGGCACUGGGAAGAGCUGGAGACGCUGCCUCACUGGGAGUCCUGCUUCUGCGCAAGAUGAGUGUGCGAGGCUCCGAGGGACCAUGUGUCUCCAUUUCCUGAGGACAACCUUGGUUUAUCUGUCAUCUCAGCAUCCUGUCUGAGCCGCCAGCCCAGUGGAAAUCCAUGUGCUGCUUGUUUCUUCAAUUUCUUGUGGCUAAACCAAUGACGAUGACGGUUUCAGGAAAAGAAGAAGAUAGAAAGUCCUUCCAAGCCAUGACUGAGGGAGUCGGAAAAGUUUGGUGCUUGAAAUAGAAGGACAACAUUGUAGAGUCAGGGACAAGAGCACAGGAUUUGGAGCUUGAUGACCCAGCUCUGCUACUAAGUACGAACAACCUUGAGGAGAUUUCUCACGGACUUUAUUUGCUGGAUCUUCUACCGUCAUCAACUUUUUCUACUUCUUCAUGAAAAAGUAGUUCAUAAAUAAGAAGUGGGGAAGACCAUGCAUUAUACUACAGAGAUACAAAGGUUUUUAUAUAUUGAAGAAAAGGCAGAUAUAAGCACACUGACAAGUAAGCCUUUGGAUGGAGUGGUGAGGCCAGGAGCACCACGGGCUACUUCUCGAGAAGGUGAGCAUGACUGAUUAGGGUGUUUUUCCAAUGGUAGUAACUUGACAUCUAAACAGGUCCUUUGGUGAUGCUGUUCCUAGUUCUUCUUUACUGUGUGCUUUUCAUUCAAAGGCAUUUAAGUACGAGAUGGAGGUGCAGCCAUUACCACCCUAUUGUCCAUCAGAAAUGACACGUCCCGAAAUACUUACCUCGGGCAAAGCAGUGAUACUCCUUCUUCAGAAUGCCAUUUUGCCCCAACGAGAAGAUCUAUAUCUAUUUCUCUUCAUAGAGUUAGGCUUAGACAAGUGUGAGACCAGUACGCAUGUUUUUUUUUUCUGAUGAGCUCAGUAUUCUCUGAUGUUCAUCACACAUUUUUUCAAAAAUACUCAUCCAGAGCCUAUGUUGUGCAAGAAGCCACUGAAGAUGCAGCAGUAAAGAAGGCAGACACGUCUUGGCUGCUUACAUGAGAUUAUAUUCUAGUAAGGAAGACAGAUCAUCAAGAAAAUGUAAACAAGGUAAUUAUAGAUUGUGAUGGUUACCAGGAAAGAAAGUUUAUCCAGUGGUGCUCAGGGCCAUCCCAUCCUCACACCAAGCCUCCAACAUGCCUUCUUAGUCUUUGAGGCGCACAACUGACUUUUCUAGUUUUACAUACAUAGCUAUAGCUCAUGCAGCUUCAAGCGCUCCUCUCUUUCCAAAUUCUUGUCCCUAAAUCUUUUCUAUAUAGACAUUUUAGAACUGCUAGUGGGCCCAGUAGUAAGACAUUUUCAUGGGAAAAAAGACACAAGACACAACUUGUGUGUUAUCAAAGUCUAGAACUCCGAGAGGACAAGUAGCUGUGUGGUAGUUAUUUGCAUACACAUCUGUCUUCCCUAUUAGAUCUCCUUGAAAGUAGACACUAAUCUAUUUUUUUGUCUCCUGUGUUACAUGCACAUAGUAGGAACUCAGUAUAUUGCUCAAUGAAUUCAACUGAAUUAGCACAAACCACAGGCUUUUGCCAAAAGCAUUAGUGAAUUCAUGUUUGAAGAGAAUUAACUAACAAUUAAGAUUAAAACGUCAGUAUUCACAUGGAUUUUGGCUGAGCAGAUACAUUUCCUUACUGCUGAACAUAAGGCUUUUCAGACCAAUGAAUCUGGUAUCCGACAGUCCCUUGCCAGCAAGGCAUGGCAGGAGUGGAAGGAGAGGAGCAUGGGCUGAAUGCAGACUUUGGCAAAUGGUUGGCACUUCCAUUUCUCCUGCCAGACUUAUAAGCUCUUGGUGGGUGUGGCAGGAGAUAUGAGAGAGAGCAACUAGAGGUCCUAGGAUGAGACCUCCCUAUGGAGGUGCCAAAGAUUUUUUUUUUUUUUUCGGUUUGAAGUUUGUGAGAAGGAUGCAUGCCUACCCCAACUGAAUAAUUUGGGGCUUCUUUUCUGGACACUCCCUUCAGGGACCUACUUCAAACGAUUUCUUUUGCUGAGAUCUCACAAUGUGUCAGCCUCAUACAUAGAGCCAGGGUUACAAAGAUUGACAAUCAAGAUUCUUACCCUCAGGUGACCACUGUUCCCAUUUGAGAGGUAGGAAUUAACAUGUAACCAGUAAAGAAAAGCCAGCCGUGUUAUCCUCCCUGCCCUGAGAGUUCACCUUUGUGUGUACAUGCGCGUGUGUGUACCCCCACAGAUGUGCACACGCAGACACAGGCACAUACACAUGUACCUUAGCACUUUCCCAUAUAGGAUAAAUCAGAGUAAUUGCUCCAAGCCCUUCAUUUUGGUAAUGGGACUUGACGCUGGUUCCGGGCUUUCCGGGCUAUGACAAGGAGCAGGUUUCAGAGCAAGGACCAGGAAAGGCAACUGAUAUGGAAGAGGGAUAUGGGUUUAUCAGCUGGGCUUGGUUAUAUGGACCUAAGUCCUCUAUGAUACAAAUUGUAUGAAAUGAACAGCAGGAGUACACAAUUUAUUCAAUCCUUCCGUUGUUCUUCACUUAAGAAAUGAUUGUUGAGUAUCUGUUAUGUGCUAGGGACUAGGGAUGGUGCAGAAGGGAAAAAAAUAUAAUCUACAGAAGGAGCAGACAUUAAGCAAAUAGUUCCACAAAUACAAAAUUUGCAACUAUGAUAAGGGCUAAGCUGCUGGGUGUUGUGAGAGGUUAUAAUAGGGGCAUUUAACCCAUUGGGGAAGACUUUUUUAAAACUUUACCUAGUUUUGCUAAUAAAAUACAUUUUUGGGGUCUGGGGUGGGGAGGAUUGGUUUGCUCUCCACUUUGUGUGGUCAAUCUUUGUAUCAGUAUGUGAAUGCCUGCACACACCUUAGACCGGUUCUAUCUUUUUAUGUCUUUACUUUUCAUUUUACUUAUGCAUUUAUGUACUUACACACAAUGACAACUAUUUUUAAGUUUAUUUAUUUAUUUUGUGGGGGAGGCGCAGAGAAAUAGGGAGAGAAUCCCAAGCAC